rnacentral:lncRNA from 1 species
AUGCCUUCAACUUGUAUAGCUGCUCCUCAAUACUAACAGUUAGAGGAUGAGAUCUGGAUGGGAAGCUGAUUGAACGGAGAUGACAAGCAGCCAUUUGUUUCACUUCUAAAGAAGAAAGCCUACCAGGAAUGUGAAUAUGCAGGUAGUCUUGUUUUCUGUUUAACCCACUCCAUUGGGCAUCUUAUAUAUGUAUUAUGUAAGAGCAAAAGAAAUAGGAAUCAAGCUUCCUGAUCUACAUUAGCUGUCAUGUGCUGAGUUUUGCUACUGUCCAAGCAAUGUCUCAAGAUUGUUGUGUUGUGAUUAAGCAAUCUGAUUAAACAAGCACUUGAUUAUUGAUUAUAAUAUUGUCACAAUAAAUACCAUGCCUCUGACGUUCCAAUUCAUUGAGAUAACCAUCAAAAAGCUAUUUAAAUAGCAUGAAACUUGGAACCAUGCUUGCAUAUUAUGAUUCUAUUAACAUAAUCAUAAUAAUAGUUUAAUGUUAUUAUUUGAUAAAGUUGUUUGGUCAUUUGUUUACAUGUGCAGAAUUUGAUGACCUUCAAUAGAAUAUUAACAUCCACAAGUAAGGUGCAGCUUCCUUCCCAGACAAACAAGAACUGAUUAUUGUUUUUUCAUGUAUUAUCUGCACGCCAUUGGACAAUGAGAUUCUCGACACUUGACAAACUCUAGCUGUGAUGGCUGGUGUCUAGGAACAGGUAGAAUCUUGACAGCCUCUUUUUGCUUUAUAUUAGGCACAUUCUAUGCAUGGUGUAGAUAAAUAAUUUAUACUGAAAUCAUAGAAGAGAUGAUAAGAGUCUGGUUGACCAAAAGGGGACCAUGAUCCAUCCAUAUUGCUGCAGAGAAAGUGAAUCUGUCCUGUUUUUUCCCCAACCGUGGCAAUAAGAAAAAGAUGAGAGCAAAGUUUUGAAAUGCACUCCAUCUUUUUUAAUUAAAGAAAUGGCAAUAUGAUCCUAUUUUCAUAUAACUGAGUAACAAGGGUAGUAUAAAUAAUUUAGUCAUUUAAUUAAAUAAAAGAGAUGCAGUGAAGUGUAUUUAUAAAAUUAGAUCCAAUUGAUUAAACGAAAACUCCUACAAAAAAAUUCUAUGGGCUUUUUAGUGAUCAAGAAAUUCUUUUGGUUUUAUAUUUCCAAUACUUUAAUUUAAGUCUUGACUAUCAAGAAAAUCUAUAUAAUUUGGCUCUCAUUAGCUUCUAGUCUGAUCUGAUUUGCUCCAUUAACAGCAUAACUAAUUAUUUUUAAUGAUCAAGAAAAGAAGCUAUUGGAUUUGAGACAAAAUGCAAUGGCAUACACAAGAACAUGUUUGUGCUCAAAAUCUUUUGAUUGGUGAAAAGGAAAAUUCAUUUUCUCUAAGAAAUCAUAUACAUGCAUUUUUUUUCUAGUCAAGAUGUCAUGUAAAUUCAACAAAAUAACAUAAUUUGAACCUUUUCUUCUCUUUUUUCCUUUUGUUUUUCCUUUUUUUUUUGCCUGCAGUGAAGUGUGAAAUUGCAAUUGCAUCUUGAAUGGAAUAUGAAAUUCUGAAGAGAAUAUAUUUUUGAAGUGUGGAAGGCAAAUUGAUGGAAAAAUGAGCAAUCUUAACAUGUUAGUAUUGAAUUCAUUCUCUAUCUGUACAUAUCUACAAUUUGGAGUAGAACUCUAUGAAACAAAAUUGUGGUGAACAGUUGAUUGAAGCAACACCACUAAUGAUUCAGAAUGUUGAGAAGGGACACUCUGGUUUUCACCAAUAGCCUAUAUAGGCAUUCCAGCUCCUCUUCUGCCUCUUGCAUGCUAGACUCAAAUGCUUCCAAGUCUUUAAGAAGGCUUUGAAUUUGGGAGAGACUGAUGUCUUUGCUUGACUUCAGGAUAAGCAAUUCAGCAUCAAUCUUCUCUACUUCAUUUUCUUCAGUUUCCACAUCAUAUGAAACACGCUUCGACUGUAGCAAUUUUGGGAUUAGAAACCAGCCAGAGGGCAAUGAUUUUACCUUAGGCUGAGAAAUGAAAGAUAGGAUUGACUUGAACAUCACAAGACUAAUUCUCUGAACUCCUCUUAGCAUGCUGAUCAUGUUCUCCAAAUUGGAGUCCAAUGUUGUUAUUGUAAAAUGCAUCUCCUUUUUCUUCAAGUUUCUUAGACACUUGCUAAUUGCUUUGUUCAACUUCUUUCUAGAUACCAUGUAUGCAUCAACUUCUCUUGUGAAAUAGAGUCUGUGCUUUUUCUUCUGCGGAGAGAUAGUUCAAGUUCUUGCAAACAUUCCUUCAUCUGUGAGAAUAAAUCUCUUGUUGUAUCACAUAUAUCCAAUAGCUCCAGAGAUCCAUUCACUGCGUCUCCUAUGCACUGGUUUUGCCUCUCAUUGGAGAUUGUCUGUUGGACAAAUGACAGUUGAAGAAAAUCAUCAACAGACUCGAAUAAAUUCUUUAGGCCAUUCAAUUUGUGUCCUAUUGAUGAGGUUUCUGAUGUCCUCAACUUGCAUAACUGCUCUUCAAUGUUUACUCUUAGAGGAUGAGAUCUAGAAGGUAAGCUGAUUGAUCGGAGAUGACUAGCUGCCAUUUUUUUCCCUUCUAUUGAGGAAAGCCUAUAGAGAAUUUGAAUGUUGUAAUGGUCUUGGCUGUUGUUCAAACCAACACAUUGAACCUGUUAUAUAUGGAUGAGCAAUCGAUCAUAAGAAGAAUACCAUCUUCUUGAUCUACAUUAGCUGUCAUGUCCUGAGUUUUUGAGACAAUCUUGGCAACCUUUUGUCUGUGCAGUGCUGUUGGUGAGCUGUGAUUUAAAGAAUUGGGCGAUUAUUGGUUAAGUAUUGUUAUACAAACUACAAUUUCUGCGAGGUUCCAACAUCGAGAUCUCCAAGUAAUUAUAUAGCAUUGAUCUUGAAGACAAUGCAUGUAAUGACUCGAUUAAUAUAACCAAAUUAUUAAUUUAAAAUGGCAUUUGAUUGGGUUGUUAAUUUCCUGCUUUUGUUUGCAUGUGCAGAAGCCGAAGGACUGCAAUAAAAAUACUCAUCCACGAGCUGCAGCAUGCAGUUUCAUUAAUAAUUAAUGAGGCUUCUGAACAACUCUCGCUGCCAUGCGGUCCAGGGGUAAGUAGAAUCUUGACAGUCUUGGUUUCUUUUGAAUUCAGACACAGUCCAUGGAUGAUGGAGAUGUAUAAAUAGAAAUUAAAUUAAUAAUGCAACCACGCACAAAGGGGUUUAGCUUAGAUGAAUAAAAUGUUAUUAGAAUUUGGAAGACCAUAAGUGAAGCAUGAUCCACCUAUAUAUGGCCGGAUAUGCAGUUUCCCUGGUUUUUCAUUCAAAUGAAACUGAUGGAGAAGUAAUCAUAACUCCGCAGGCAAUGGUGUGAUUGGAUUAUUCAUGCUUGCUUGCCUUGUGAUAGAGACAUUAGAGUAGUUAUUCUCUGCCAUUUGGAGUUAGCAACCCAUUACAAAUUUCAUCACUAUUUUUUUUGUAGAAAACUUUUUAGUAUUGAAAAUCAGCUUUUUUCAUAAAAAAAAAACCAGUAAUUUAGAGAAACACUAUGAAUAUAAUUGAAGUGCUCAAUUAUAUGAGUAAAAAAGAAUGCAACAAAAGCCUAUAGUACAAUUCAAAAUAUGUACUACAAAUUCAAAAAUCAAAAUUAAUUAACAAUUCAAGGGCUCAAAUUAAAUUGGAAUGCAUGGUAUUAUCAUGGUUUUUUUAUUGCUCUUGUAGUCGAGAAUAAUGGAAACAGGUUUGUGACGGCUGUAUUAUAAUGGCAAUGGCCUAUCGCUAUUCAAAUUCUUUUGAAUAAUUUGCAAAGUUCAUGAUAUGAAGUUCAAUUCCUUGAGUGUGUUUGAGUCUGCAACUGGAUUUGGAUAUAUCAGUUGUUUGUUUCGCUGGAUCAACACUGACCAAAAGCAUCUGUACUUUUCUGUUUAUUUUUUUUUACUCUUUAUCUCUGGAUAUGAAAUCCCAUUAUCCUAGUUCAUCAUAUCCUGUUAAUUCUCGCAAUAAACUAUACACGUACAUUAAGUCAUGCGUACGUAACUACGUAUGUAGCUUGGAUAUGCUAUUAAUUGGGAAUGAUGUUUUGUAGCAAUUCAGUAGUGUUUACUCUAUUGAUAAUGAUUUUGUUAUGUUGAGAGGGGAGAGAAAGCAAAUUGAUGAAAAUAUUUUGCAAUCUUAGUAUUCUGGAUUGAACUUCAUUCUCUAUCUGUAUAUAUACAAAUAUAUCUACAAUUUGGUGUAUAACUCUAUGAUACAAAAUUGUGGUGAGCAGCUGAUGGAAGCAAUAGCUAAUGAUUCAGAAUGUUGAGAAGGGAAACUCUGGUUUUCACCAAUCGUCUAUAGACGCAUUCCAGAUCCUCUUCUGCCUCUUUAAUGCUCGACUCAAAUGCUUCCAAUUCUUUGAGAAGGUUUUGAAGUUGUGAAACUUUGAUGUCUUUGCUUGACUUCAGGAUAAGCAAUUCAGCGUCUAUCUUUUCAACUUCAUUGACUUCAAUUUCCACUUCACAUGAAACACGCUUGGACUGCAGCAAUUUUGGGAUUACAAACCAGCCCGAGGACGAUGAUUUUACCUUGGGCUGAGAAAUGAAAGAUAAGAUCGACUCAAACACCACAAGACUAAUUUCUUGAACUCCUCUUAGCAUGGUGAUCAUGUUCUCCAAAUUGGAGUUAUUGUCCAAGGUUGCUGUCGUGCAAUUUUUCUCCUUUUUCUUCAAAUUUCGUAAGCACUUGCAAAUUGCUUUGUUCAACUUCUUUCUAGAGACCAUGUAUGCAUCAACUUCUACUGUGAAGCUAGAGUCUGUGACUUUUCUUCUGCGUAGAGAUAGUUCAAGUUCUUGCAAACAUUCCUUCAUCUGUGAAAACAAAUCUCUUGUUGUAUCACAUAUAUCCAAUAGCUCCAGAGAUCCAUUCAUUGCAUUUUCUAUGGACUGGCUUUGCCUCUCAUUGGAGAUUGUCUGUUGGGCAAAUGACAGUUGAAGAAAAUCAUCAACAGACUCAAACAAAUUCUUCAGACCACUCAAUUUGUGUCCUAUUGAUGAGUAUUGUGAUGCCCUCAACUUGCCCAACUGCUCCUCAAUGUUUACUGCGAGAGGAUGAGAUCUAGAGGGUAAGCUGAUAGAUCGAAGAUGAAAAGCUGCCAUUUUCUCCCUUCUGCAGAUGAAAGCCUCUAAAGAAUUUGAAUGGACUGGUGGUCUUGGCUGUUGCUUAGACCAACACAUUGAAGCUGUUAUAUAUAUAGAUGAGCAAUAGAUCAUAAGAAGAACCACAUCUUAUUGAUCUACAUUAGCUGUCAUGUCCUGAGUUUUGAGACAGUUCUGAUAAUGUCUCGUCAAUGCGGUGUUUUGAGUGAGCAAUGUGAUUUAAAUAAAUUUGAUGGUUAUUGAUUUAAAAUAUUGUUUAUACAGAGUACCAUGUCUCCAUGGUUCCAACACACAGAUCUCAAGUAAUCAUAUAAAACUAAUCUUGAAUCCAUGCAUGUAAUGGUUCUAUUAAGAUAAUCAAAUUAAUAAUUUAAAAUCGGCAUUUGAUGGGGUUGGUCAAUUUCCUGCUUUUGCUUGCAUGUGCUGAAGCCUAAGGACUUGAAUAAAAAUAAUCACGCCCACGAGCUGCAGGAGCUCUUGAACAACUCUCCCUGCCAUGUGCUUGGCGUCCAGAACCAAGUAGAAACUUGACAGCCUUGGUUUCUUUUAAGAUGCAGUCCAUGGAGGAUAGAGAUUACAAAUAAAUUGUAAUUAAUAAAUAAUGGAACCAUGCACACAGGAGGUGCUAGGAAUUUGGUGGACCAAUCCUGCUAUAUAUGAAGUUUAGCUGAUUUUUAAUAUGAAACUAACUGAUAGAGAAGUAGGCAGAAUUUUGCGAGCAAUGGCUUGAUUGUAGGAAGCUCAACGUGGUUGAAUAUUACUUUGAUAUGAUAGGAAGAGCAAGAGGUGGGUUGUUCAAGCAUACUUAUCUGCUUUGUGCCAAAGAGAUUAGAAUAGCUAUUCUCUAUGAUAAUCUGCAUAUUAAACACUUAAAUUUUGAGUUUUAUUUUAUUUAAAAUAAGUGAAUUUAUUUGAGUUUUGAUAUUUUUGUAGGAUAAGUAAGGAUUAGAGAAUAAUAAGAGAAAGAUCGUAUUUGUGUUUGGAUUAUACAUUCUGAAAUUAAAAAGAGUGCCUUCUACGGUUGUUCAAGAAUUAGAGUUAGUUAACGAUCAUUUCUUAACUAGUUUAAAAACUAAGAAAGAAUUGGAUAUCUAAAAUGUUUUUUAUAUCUGUAACUGUUUUAUCAAUAAAUAAUUUGAAAUUAUCUUUGCAUCUGUCAUCAACUAAUAUAACUGAAACUAAAAUUGAUCAUUUGACUGAAUUCAUGUCAUGUUAAUUUUCUCUCUUAAAUUUAAUUGUUCUUCUUAUUUGGUUAAUUUAGUUUAUUUUCUCAUUGAAAUAAUUCUUAUUUCCUUGCAUUUAAAAUUUUUCAUUUUUAUUUUUAUUUUGCUUUUAUUUACUCAAUAAAAUUACUUUCUGAAGAAUUUUAGAAGAAAUUUUUUAUUUUAUUCCAAUUGAAUUGAUAUUUACAAGGAGGUAGGUUUGAGUAUUUAUAUACAAAGAAUCCAUUUAAAUUAGAAAUAUUUAUGAUAAAAAUAAAAUCAUAAUUAGAAUCCCAAAAAUUUGAAUCAAGCCUAAUUAGGAUCUCAAAUAUUUGAAUCCUUCUAAUUAGGAACCUUCUAUGAUGGUCAAUACUCCCCCUCAAGUUGGUGCAUAGAUAUUACACAUGCCCAACUUGUAAAGUAAGGUGUGGUAGGUCUUGUUACUAAGUCCUUUGGUAAACACAUCAAGUAGCUAUUCAUCGGAAGUCACAUGAUCUAAUCUCAAGACACCAUUUAUUAACUUCUCUUUAAUAAAGUGUCGAUCAAUCUUUAUGUAUUCCGUUCGGUCAUAUUGAACCGGAUUGUGAGCUAUACUUUGGCAGCUUUGUUGUCACAAUACAAGAGGAGUUUGUCCCUCUCUAAUAGUUUCAAUUCAUCCAACAAUCUCUACAACCAUAGGAGUUCACAGAUACAUUGUGCCAUCGCUCUAUAUUCCGCCUCACUUUUUGCUUCUCCAAGUGUUAAGGUUUCAUUCCACAAGUGUACAGUAAUCACUAGUCGACCUUUUAUCGUCAAGAGAUCCAACUCAAUCUACAUCUGUAAAUGCAUGUAUGCGAAGAUGACCAUAUUUAAAGAAUAUGAGACUUGUUCUAGAAGCAAACUUCAAGUAUCGCAAAAUGCGAAAAACAGCUUGCAUGUUAGACUUACGAAGAUCAUGCAUAAACUGAUUGACUAAGCUAACUGCAUAUGCUAUGUCUGGUCAAGUAUGAGAAAGAUAAAUCGGUCUGGUUACCAAUUUCUGAUAUCUGUCAAUAUCCACUGAUUCACCAAUCUCUGCUUGUAGCUUGUGAUUGCUCUCAAUGGGAGUUUCUGCUAGUUUGCAACCUAACAUACUAGUUUCUUCCAAAACAUUCAGAAUAUAUUUUCUCUGAAAAAUAAAGAUUUCCUUCUUUAACCUGACAACCUCGAUUCCCAGGAAAUAUUGCAAUUUUUCUAGAUCUUUAACUUCGAAUUCCUAAGCUAAAAGUUUUUUCAAUUGAGUCAUCUCUUCAAUGUCAUUCCCGUCAUUACUAUGUCAUCAACAUAAACUAUGAGAAGAGUAAUUUUACCUCUAUGUUGAUGACAUAGUAAUAACGGGGAUGACACUGAAGAGAUGACUCGGUUUAAAAAACUUUUAGCUCAGGAGUUUGAAAUUAAAGAUCUAGAAAAACCAAACUAUGGGUGACUGUUUCAAUCUAGACAAAGUUUUCUUUAGCUUGCACACCUUUUAUUGUGUUUUUUCAUCAGCAAAUUCAGGAGAAAUUUCCAUAUACAGUUCCUCCUCCAAGUCUCUAUGAAAGAAUGCAUUUUUCACAUCAAAUUGUUGUAGAUCCCAGUCAAGGUUGACAGCAUAAUAUAACAAUACUCUGAUUAAGUUCAUUUUAGCAGUAGGGACAAAUAUCUCCUGGUAAUACGCUCCAUAGGUUUGAGUGUAUCCCUUGGUAACUAGUCUAACCUUGAAUCUUUUAAUUGAUCUAUCUGCUUUGUGUUUCACAGUGAAAUCCCCUUUGCAGCCAACUGGUUUUUUUUCCAGGUGGAAGAGACAUCAACUCUCGGUUCUCAUUUUUAGCCAAGACUUUCAUUUUUUUAAUCAUUGCUCUCUUCUAAUUAGAAUCUUUGAGAGUUUCCUUCUAAUCCUGUGGGAUAGACACAGAGGAAAUAGACAAAACAAAAACUCUAUAGGAUAGAGAAACAUAAUCAUAAGAGAGAAGGUUAGAAAUAGAGUGCUUGUGCAAGAUCGAACUCCUUUUUUUUUGAACAAUUGGUUUAUUUAGAUCAUCAAUGGGCUCAAAGUUUAAGGAUUACUCAUCAGAUGGAGAAGAAGAAGAUUCAUAACAUUGAGUAGGCUACACAAUAGCUUUUUCUACUUCUAGUUUGUGUUUUCUUGAGUAUCUCCUUAAAUCUAGUUUAUCCAGACACCCAAUUUGAUCACCAAUAGUCUCUCCUGUAUAAUAAUCUUUCCCUGUGUACUAGUCUCCUCUAGACUAAAACGUUUAGUAAUAGUAAUGAUUAGAAAUUAAAAAGUCUACUGAUAAGAAAUUAAAAAGUCAUAUAUAAAUUGUAAUACUAAAGAUAAAAAAAUUUAUUUAUUAUGGAGAUAUUAAUUAGUAAUAUUAUUAAAUAUGAAAAUAUAACUUGAAAAUAAAAAUAAAAAUAAAAAUAAAAUAUAUUAAGUGUGCUACUUGGCACAAUAUACAAAUUUAAGAGAGCCACUUAGGUGUAAUUAUCUGAACCUAACUAUGUCAUUUGUCGAUCUUUUCAUAGCCUAUUUUAGAACUCAACUUUAUUUAUAUAGAUAGAUAGAUCGAUUUCUUAAGACAUUUGCAAAUUGCUUUCUUCAGCUUUUUUCUAGAAAUCAUGUAUGCAUCAACUUCGUCUCUCAAGCCACAGUCUCUGCCUUUUCUUCUACGAAGAGAUAAUUCAAGCUCCUGAACACAUUCUUUCAUCUGUGAGAAAAAGUCUCUUGUGGAAUCACACAAAUCCAACAGCUCCAGAGAUCCAUUCAAUACAUUUUCUACACACUGGCUUUGCCUCUCAUGACAGAGAGUCUGUUGGGCAUGUGGCAGUUGAAGCAAAUCAUCAACACACAAACAAAUUUUUUAGGCCACUCAAUUUGUGGCCUUUUGAUGAAGACUGCGAUGCCUUCAACUUGCAUAGCUGCUCCUCAAUCUUAGAAUAGGAGAAGAAAACAGAGGAGAGAAGUGAAGUAACAAGAGAGAAAAAAAUUUUUCAAAUAGCAUAUCAUUCAAGACUUGAUCAGCUUUCCAUUAUACAAAGUAAAGAUAUGGAAAAAUAAUUUUAUCAGUACAAAUUUUCAACUAACAGCUACCCAAUACAAAAGAAAACCACAAAAGUAGCUGCUGACUUUCUUGCUAUAAUCAAGUCCCUGUUCUACUAACUUUUUACUGACUAAAGUAAAAUUCAAGAAAUUAUAUUUCAGUUGAUUUCCAGAAAUUCAGGUCUUCAUGUUCAGAGGGAAACUCAACUACUGUCACUCAAUACUAACAGUUAGAGGAUGAGAUCUGGAUGGUAAACUGAUUGAACGAAGAUGACAAGCAGCUUUUUUUUUUUUUUUGGCUUCUUGAAGAAAACCUACCAAGAAUGUGAGUGUACAGGUGGUCUUGGUUGCUGUUUAACCCAAUCAAUUGAACAUCUUAUAUAUGCAAGAGCACCAGAAAUAGGAAUCCAUCUUCCUGACCUGCAUUAGCUGUCAUGUGCUGAGUUUUGCUACUGUCCCAGCAAUGUCUCAACAAUGUUAUGCUGUGAUUAAGGAAUAUGAUUAAAAAAAAUUAUUAUAAUAUCGUCACAACAAAUACCAUGUGCCUCAAGGUCCCAAGGCACUGUGAUAACCAUCAAAUUAUGUAGUAUUAAACUUGAAAGCGUGCAUAUGAUGAUUUUACUUAGAUAACAAUAAUAAUAAUUGUUUGACAUUGUGAUUGAUGAAGUUGUUUGGUGUUUGCAUGUGCAGAAUCUGACAAACUUCGGUAAAAUAUUAACAUCCAUGUGCAAGAUGCAGCUUCCUUUCUAGACAAACAAGAACCUGCACAUUGUUGUUGUUGUUUUCAUAUAUUUUCUGCAUGCCAAUGGAUGAUGAGACUCUCGAGCCUUAAGCAACUCUGGUUGUGAUGCCUGGUGUCUGUGAACAGGUAGAAUCUUGACAACAUCUGUUUUGCUUAAAUUAAGCACAUACCACGCAUGGUGUAGAUAAAUAAAUUAAUAACCCAAUCAUAGAGGAGAUGAUAAAGUCUGGUUGGCCAAAAGGGAAAGCAUGAUCCACCUAUAUUGCUGCAGAUCAAGUUUAGCUGUCCUUUUUCCUGAACCAAGUAAUGAGAGAAAGAUGCUGAACAUUUUUAAAAUGCACUCCAUCUUUUUUCUUUUAAUUAAAUAAAUGGCAAUGUUGUCCUCACUUUGAUAUGAUUAAAUAACAAGUCAAGUAUGGAUAAUAUAGUCAUUAAUUAAACAAAAAAAGAUAGAAUGAGGUGCAUUUAAGAAAUUUACAUCCAAUUUAUUAAACUAAAACUCCUAUAGAGAAAUUCCUAGGACUCUAAUGAUCAAGAAAUUCUAUUGGUUUAUAUUUGCAAUGCUUUGAUUGAAGUCUUGACUAUCAAGAAAAUCUGUUUACGCUUAUUAGCUUGUACGCUGAUUUACUCCAUCAACAGCAAAAAUAAUUAGUUUUAAACGAUCAAGAAAAGGCAAAUUGAUGUGACGUUUGCAAUCUUAACGUGUUCGUAUUAAAUUUCAUUCUCUAUCUGUACAUAUAUCAACAAUUUGCAGUAUAAUUUAUGAUACAAAAUUGUGUUGGGCAGUUGAUGGAAGCAAGGACACUAAUGAUUCAGAAUGUUGAGUAGGGAUACUCUGGUUUUCACCAAUCGCCUAUAGAUGCAUUCCAGCUCCUCUUCUGCCUCUUUCAUGCUUGACUCAAAUGCUUCCAAUUCUUUAAGAAGUUUUUGAAGUUGUGAAAGACUGAUGUCUUUGCUUGAUUUCAGGCUAAGCAAUUCAGCACCAAUCUUCUCUGCUUCAUUGGCUUCAAUUUCCACUUUACAUGAAACACGCUUGGACUGCAGCAAUUUUGGGAUUGCAAACCAGCCAGGGGGUGAUGAUCUUACCUUUGGCUGAGAAAUGAAAGAUA